AGAUACUCGCCAAAACAAAUCGUCGCUCACGGGUUCCGUCCAUUUUACCUCCCAACCAUAAUCCCGCACGCGGAGACUUCUCUCCCGAGAGAUGCCCAGGGGCGUCGGAUGAACACUUUUUUGUUACUGCGAGGAAGUGUUAUCGACCAAUCAACGUCGUACACGUCCAAUAAAGUUGAUGACGUAAUGGUUGGUGCGACGGUUGGAUGAAUUUUGUAAAACUUGCUAACAUGUUGGCCUAGCAAGUGCAGGUCUUUCCGUUCGUGAACGUCCCAGAGCCAAGUAGUGCGCGUCGUGUGUUAGAGUUUAGAGUAAAUUUAAAAGUUGAAUUUGUUAAAGUGGUGUGAUGAAAACUAAAUUAAAUUACUAAAUUACAGGUUAAAAAAGCUAAACAAAACGAGACGUUCACAAAUAAAAAUCUAUUAGUCGAUACAAACGGAAAAUUAAAAAGUGUCUAACAUGCAUAAAAGAGGUGUUAGCGAAAAUAGCAGCUACAACUAAAGCUUAAAAAUUAUAACAAGCAACAAGUUAAAAGACAUUAAACCGUUUUAGGUGUAAAAGCUAAAAAUCCUAAAAACGGUACAACAAGAAACUGUGAAACACAUUAAAACAAAGCUACAUAGAAAAAGGUCCAGAGGGCCUUUUUCUUUUGUAUUUCACAGCUCAAGCUCCCGGUCUACUUCGUAGGUUUGCUGUCGGGGCCAAAACCAAAACGGCCAGCGAAAGGACAUAAAAAUCCAACGUCCUACCGACGACCUAACCUCACUCAAGGUCACGCAACAACCGAGGCAUCAACCCGAGUGGUAUCAACAACAUUUUGACUUCGUUUCGGGACGCCGAAACGGGUUCGAAUCUGCCGAAGAAGCUGCCUGCGGAGCAAAUAAUCUGCAUAGACCGGAGCCUUGAAAAGUGUUGCAAAACUGCACUUACAUCAAUCGAAGAAAACCGCAAGUAUAAAAAAUAGUGACGUCUCAUAUUUAGGGCCCAUGCUAUCAAUAAACCACAGCAUUGUAAUUUGUAAAAUUAGCCCGCCUGUGUUAGUAUUUAUUUGGUGGGAUUUACAGCCACUUUUUGCUUGAUCGUUAAAAUUCCCGUUGUCCCAUGCCUCCCUCUGAGAUGUUCCACUGAAAGUUCUGCAUUUUGGUCUCUGACAAUUGUCAAACAAUUAUUUUCGUAUCGUCCGACACCGGUUGGUAACAUGCGAGGUACCACUCGUAUUUGUAGCAUUGAUUUGUUCCCCGCUUUAUGGACAUCCCUCUUUGAGUUUUAAUUGGAGCUCAAGAGGAAGCAGCCCGUUGUGUAUCCCACUGCAUACGACCCUGAGUCUCAAGAGAUCCCACAAAAACCACCCCUAUUUUGAAUCACCCACCCGC